AGGUGGCGAGCGUUGUCCGGAUUUACUGGGCGUAAAGGGUGCGUAGGCGGAUGUUUAAGUGGGAUGUGAAAUCCCCGGGCUUAACCUGGGGGCUGCAUUCCAAACUGGAUAUCUAGAGUGCAGGAGAGGAAAGCGGAAUUCCUAGUGUAGCGGUGAAAUGCGUAGAGAUUAGGAAGAACACCAGUGGCGAAGGCGGCUUUCUGGACUGUAACUGACGCUGAGGCACGAAAGCGUGGGUAGCAAACAGGAUUAGAUACCCUGGUAGUCCACGCCGUAAACGAUGGAUACUAGGUGUAGGGGGUAUCAACUCCCCCUGUGCCGCAGUUAACACAAUAAGUAUCCCGCCUGGGGAGUACGGUCGCAAGAUUAAAACUCAAAGGAAUUGACGGGGGCCCGCACAAGCAGCGGAGCAUGUGGUUUAAUUCGAAGCAACGCGAAGAACCUUACCUGGACUUGACAUCCCUUGCAUAGCCUAGAGAUAGGUGAAGCCCUUCGGGGCAAGGAGACAGGUGGUGCAUGGUUGUCGUCAGCUCGUGUCGUGAGAUGUUAGGUUAAGUCCUGCAACGAGCGCAACCCUUGUUAUUAGUUGCUACCAUUAAGUUGAGCACUCUAAUGAGACUGCCUGGGUAACCAGGAGGAAGGUGGGGAUGACGUCAAAUCAUCAUGCCCCUUAUGUCCAGGGCUACACACGUGCUACAAUGGUAGGUACAAUAAGACGCAAGACCGUGAGGUGGAGCAAAACUUAUAAAACCUAUCUCAGUUCGGAUUGUAGGCUGCAACUCGCCUACAUGAAGCUGGAGUUGCUAGUAAUCGCGAAUCAGAAUGUCGCGGUGAAUACGUUCCCGGGCCUUGUACACACCGCCCGUCACACCAUGAGAGCUGGUAACACCCGAAGUCCGUGAGGUAACCGUAAGGAGCCAGCGGCCGAAGGUGGGAUUAGUGAUUGGGGUGAAGUCGUAACAAGGUAGCCGUAGGAGAACCUGCGGCUGGAUCACCUCCUUUCUAAGGAGA
rnacentral:rRNA from 1 species